rnacentral:misc_RNA from 1 species
GCCACGCCCGAAGUCAUUACUCCAACCUUUCGGGGGGGAGGAUGCCUAAGGCAGGACUGGUGACUGGGGUGAAGUCGUAACAAGGUAGCCGUACCGGAAGGUGUGGCUGGAUCACCUCCUUUUUAGGGAGACCUACACCCCUUACAUAUCGAAAAACACACAGUUAAAUAGAUAGUAAGUUGGUCUAACCUAGGUCGGUCGCAGACAUUUGCAAAUGUUGAAAGCUUUCAAACUAUGAUUUGGUUCGAUAUGGGCUAUUAGCUCAGGUGGUUAGAGCGCACCCCUGAUAAGGGUGAGGUCCCUGGUUCGAGUCCAGGAUGGCCCACCUGAAAGUAAUUAGUAAUUGCUAAUUCGUAAUUCGUGAUUAACUACGAAUUAAGAAUUAUGAAUUACGAAUUAUAAUCUGGGGGUUUAGCUCAGUUGGUAGAGCGCCUGCUUUGCAAGCAGGAUGUCAGCGGUUCGAGUCCGCUAACCUCCACCUGUGGCGAUUGCCAUUGAUAAAAUUUUGUGAGAGUUCAGCAACAUGACUUAAUUGAGUCAGACUGCUGAGUUGAUCUCAGCCAGAACCUUGAAAACUGCAUAGUAACGCGAAAUUAGCAGGCAGACACAGACAUUCUGAAAGAAUGUUGAGUGAAUGCAAAAUGUGAAACACCAAAUGUAUUGAGUGGUCAAGCUAAUAAGGGCUAACGGUGGAUACCUAGGCACACAGAGG